rnacentral:rRNA from 1 species
GAUGAACGCUAGCUACAGGCUUAACACAUGCAAGUCGAGGGGUAACGAGAGGAAAGCUUGCUUUCCUUGUCGACGACCGGCGCACGGGUGAGUAACGCGUAUCCAACCUGCCCCCAACUAGGGAAUAACCUUGCGAAAGUAAGACUAAUACCCUAUAAUUUCCUCAGAUGUCAUCUGACGAGGAAUAAAGAUUUAUCGGUUGUGGAUGGGGAUGCGUCUGAUUAGCUUGUUGGCGGGGUAACGGCCCACCAAGGCAACGAUCAGUAGGGGUUCUGAGAGGAAGGUCCCCCACAUUGGGACUGGUACACGGUCCAAACUCCUACGGGAAGCAGCAGUGAGGAAUAUUGGUCAAUGGGCGGAAGCCUGAACCAGCCAAGUAGCGUGCAGGAUGACGGCCCUAUGGGUUGUAAACUGCUUUUAUACAGGAAUAAAGUUAGCCACGUGUGGUUAUUUGUAGGUACUGUAUGAAUAAGGACCGGCUAAUUCCGUGCCAGCCGCCGCAGUAA